UGGGAGGACACCGGAAGUCUGGUGUCUUCACUGUGGUGUGUGUCUGGCGGCGGGAUAGUUGUGUGGUUUGUUAUUAGUGAGUUUUAAGAAGACAGAGCUCCAGAAUCCAGAGUGAGUCCAGCAGCCCCAGUGGAGCUCUGCUGGAUUUCAGGACCAGAGAGGAAUGGAGGAGGACAACCAGAACCAGGAGCA